AGCUCCAAUAGCAUAUAUUAAAGUUGUUGCAGUUAAAAAGCUCGUAGUUGAAUUUCUGGGGGAGUGCCAAUGCCGGCUCGAUGCUUGUGCAGCGGCGCUCUCCCAUCCUUCUGUUAACGUUUCACGGUAUUAACUUACUGGUUGCGGGCUCAGAUAUUUUACCUUGAGAAAAUUAGAGUGUUUCAGGCAGGCUUGCGCCCGAAUACAUUAGCAUGGAAUAAUAGAAUAGGACUUUAGUCUCCUUUGUUGGUUUGAGGGACUGGAGUAAUGAUUAAUAGGGACAGUUGGGGGCAUUAGUAUUUAAUUGUCAGAGGUGAAAUUCUCGGAUUUGUUAAAGACUAACUUAUGCGAAAGCAUUUGCCAAGGAUGUUUUCA
rnacentral:rRNA from 1 species